rnacentral:lncRNA from 1 species
GCAUCACAUUUUAUUUCAAUACUUAAUGGAAUUCAAAGGUUACAAGUUUGAGUUAACUCAAUUAACUAGGACAUUCAAAAUCACAAUAUUGCCAAAUUUGAGACACUGUUACACAGUUUACAGAGAUGAUGGAAUUUAUCUCAAAACAUCCAUUUUAACAUUCAAACUUUAAGGCAAUCUAAGAAUUCAAAAUAUACCCACUUUUUACACCACCCUUUAUGUUUAUUAUCUAGAACUCUGUUUACAAUUUUUGUUUUCAUAUUAUUUUUUGUUAUUUUUCUACGUUUUUUUUUUUUUUUACAGAGCUCUAGAUAAUAAAAAUAUGGGAUGCAUGUCUAAGGUUAGAGGUAUAAGCAAAGACAUUCAAAAUAAGAAUAAUGCAAAUCUAUGACACUUUUAGACUGUAAUAAAUAAAGAACAAUAGGUUUUAUCUCUAAAUAUGUAAAAUCAAAAGAAUUGUACGUCCAAUUAAACAUUUUCGUUUUGAAUUUCAUAAAUAUCUUUGAUGAAAAAAAGAAAAUUUAAAAUAUGCCCACUUUUUACACCACCCUUAAUGUUUAUUAUCUAGAACUCUGUUUACAAUUUUUGUUUUCAUAUUAUUUUUUGUUAUUUUUUCGACAUGGUUUUUUUUUUUUUUUUUUUUUUUACAGAGCUCUAGAUAAUAAAAAUAUGGGAUGCAUGUCUAAGGUUAGAGGGAUAAGCAAAGACAUUCAAAAUAAGAAUAAUGCAAAUCUAUGACACUUUUAGACUGUAAUAAAUAAAGAACAAUAGGUUUUGUCUCUAAAUAUGUAAAAUCAAAAGAAUUGUACGUCCAAUUAAACAUUCUCGUUUUGAAUUUCAUAAAUAUAUUUGAUGAAAAAAAGAAAAUUUAAAAUAUGCCCACUUUUUACACCACCCUUAAUGUUUUUAUUAUUAUCUAGAACUCUGUUUUACAAAUUUUGUUUUCAUAUUAUUUUUUGUUAUUUUUCUACAGUUUUUUUUUUUUUUUUUUUUUUUUUUUUUACAAGAGCUCUAGAUAAUAAAAAUAUGGGAUGCAUGUCUAAGGUUAGAGGUAUAAGCAAAAUAAAGACAUUCAAAAUAAGAAUAAUGCAAAUCUAUGACACUUUUAGACUGCAAUAAAUAAAGAACAAUAGGUUUUGU